AGGAAAAGGGAGCCCAGGGCAGCAGCACCCCACAGGAGCUUCGUGCACAGGAGGCUCCACCACCACCCUGAGCCUGCUGUGCAGCAUGGGGGUCACCUGCAGGAACCCACCAGGGCAGAGCCUCAGCUCUCAGCCUCCCGGAAUGAACCAUGAACCCAAAGCAAAGAGCAGAACUCCUUUGACACCUCCAGCUUCACAGACAAAGAUGAAUCUCCUAAGGCAUUUCUGAAACAUGCAGUUCUGAAGUCUGGCCAGCCACACCAAAGAGCUUUUCGCAAGAAGGCACAGGCCAGACUCUGUCAUAAAGAGGAAGCCAUCAGGUUCUUGGAUAAUUGCUGAAUGGAACUAAGGGAAAUGAGAGGAGAGAAGCAUCUCAGAGCAUGUUUGGACUUGCUGCAUGCCUUGGAC
rnacentral:lncRNA from 1 species